UCGCGGAGUGGAGCAGUUGGUAGCUCGUCGGGCUCAUAACCCGAAGGUCGUAGGUUCAAGUCCUGCCUCCGCAACCAA
rnacentral:tRNA from 1 species